AGAAUCAACGCUGGCGGCGUGCCUAACACAUGCAAGUCGAUCGAGAAAGUGGAGCAAUCCAUGAGUAAAGAGGCGCACGGGUGAGUAACACGUGACUAACCUACCUUCGAGUGGGGAAUAACCUGGGGAAACCCGGGCUAAUACCGCAUAAUACCUACGGGUCAAAGGAGCAAUUCGCUUGAAGAGGGGGUCGCGGCAGAUUAGUUAGUUGGCGGGGUAAUGGCCCACAAGGCGAUGAUCGGUA
rnacentral:rRNA from 1 species